UUUUUUUCUUUUCAUUUAAGGCACUAUAAACAUUUUGGUCCGUUUUCAAUUACCCUUCGUCAAUUCCCAAUUUGCCACCCCUUUCCUAAACUUUUUUGUUUACUCGUUGAGGUAUCCAGACUCCAAUACCAAUACUCCAUAAGUAACACACUAACACUAGAACUCUAGAAGGGGCAUGGAUCGCAAGAUGAGAAAGAACAAGGCUAUGGAUAUUCCUAAGAUAUUGAUUUGAUGAAGCUAUAAUACGGAGCAUGUAAUAUCUGAAGCCUUGCUUUAUCUCCAAGUGUUUUGGGUAAUGCCAAGAACACUUGGAUCUGCAGCAAUAGCUUCAGGUAUAGCAGAUUAAAUCAGGACAUACAGUGGCAUAACUUAAGGUUUGCAGAUUCCAUAGGGGGAUAGAAGGUUCAAUGAAGCUUAUGGCCGGUUGGUAAAAGAACUUGCUAUUUUCGAAUGCAAGUGACGAAGAAGCAAUAUAAUGAAUUCAAGUCCUUGUUUGAGGUAAGAAGAAGGGGCCCUAACUGAACCAGCACCUAGCACAGGUUAACCAGCCUAGCUCCGCAGGUCAUCGCUUGAGCCACUUUCAAGCAUUUCGCAAUUGAUGGGGCUCGAACUUGUGACCUCCAAGUUACAAGGACGCAUGUGAUAUUACAUGGUGCACUUAGUUUCCAUGGUGCCACACCUCAAAGGGAGUUGCAAGGCCCUUUCCAAUUUAGGUCCUGGCCCUAUCUUAAACUUCUCCACCAUCAUCUUCAUGGCCUCACAUUGGCAUACUGGAUGCAUAAUUCUCAGCUCACUACAACACGUAUUAAAGUCCUCCCCAGCCCCUUGAAUCUUCACCACGCCGUUCUUUGUCACAAAUGGCUCACAGUGGUCCGGCCAACUGGACUUUAGAUAGUGGCGGCACUCCCGAAUCAUCCCAUUUCCCAGCCGAUUAGGGACGACACCAUCCUCAGCCUCAGGCUUGGUGGUUCGAGUGGCGUGGCUUAUCGCCACCAAGAUGGUCAUGAGGGCUGCUAGAAUCGCAAGCUUGUUUGCCAUCUACAAUUGAUUGAGAGAAUGUAUGAGAGAAUUAAUAUUAUCUCUAUCAGAAAGGCCAUUGAAGUAUUUAUAGGGAGUUACAUUUACCAAGACACAAGAUACAUGCAUAUAUGGUGCAUGAAAAUGCAGUCGGGUAAGGAUAUAUAUUAUGUACAAUAAAACGUGAAUCGUCAUGUAUACUACGCAGUAUAAAAUUAAGAUACGCAAAGGUUGUUACAAUGAAAAGUGGAAAAAGUAUACGCAAGUACAAAUAAUAUUAGGAAUAUUCGGGCUCCACACUUUGA